rnacentral:rRNA from 1 species
GACGAACGCUGGCGGCGUGCUUAACACAUGCAAGUCGAACGGUGAAGCGCCUUCCUUUUUGGUGGGUGUGGAUGAGUGGCGAACGGGUGAGUAACACGUGAGUAACCUGCCCCCUUCUUCUGGAUAACCGCAUGAAAGUGUGGCUAAUACGGGAUAUUCUGGGUCUGUCGCAUGAUGGGUCUGGGAAAGAUAUUGUUUCGGUGGGGGAUGGGCUCGCGGCCUAUCAGCUUGUUGGUGGGGUGAUGGCCUACCAAGGCGGUGACGGGUAGCCGGCCUGAGAGGGUGGACGGUCACACUGGGACUGAGACACGGCCCAGACUCCUACGGGAGGCAGCAGUGGGGAAUAUUGCACAAUGGGCGCAAGCCUGAUGCAGCGACGCCGCGGGAGGGAUGGGGGCCUGCGGGUUGUGAACCUCUUUCGCCAGUGAAGCAGGCCUGCCUCGUUUGUGGGUGGGUUGACGGUAGCUGGAUAAGAAGCGCCGGCUAACUACGUG